rnacentral:rRNA from 1 species
CAGCCGUAAACUAUGCUCGCUAGGUGUCAGGCAUGGCGCGACCGUGUCUGGUGCCGCAGGGAAGCCGUGAAGCGAGCCACCUGGGAAGUACGGCCGCAAGGCUGAAACUUAAAGGAAUUGGCGGGGGAGCACAACAACGGGUGGAGCCUGCGGUUUAAUUUGGACUCAACGCCGGACAACUCACCGGGGGUGGACAGCAGAAUGAUGGCCAGGUUGAUGACCUUGCUUGACAAGCUGAGAGGAGGUGCAUGGCGUGUGACUGU